rnacentral:lncRNA from 1 species
UCUUGGUGUCCAUUUCCCACUCCUUACCAUGCUGGCUUUCUGGCUGAGACUGGGACUGAAAUGCCCCUACCUUUCAGACCCUAUGAGCCCCUUGGAGAAAGUGAGGAGGGCGAAGCCCCACCUGAAGACCAGCAAAGCCAAGGUGGAGUCUGAGGACCAACAGGAGAGUGACUUCCUCAGUUGCAUGUCCAGGCGUUCCGGGCUACCUCGAUGGGUCCUGUUCUGUUGCCUCUUCCUCUCCGUCCUGAUCAUCCUGUGGCUGAGUUGCUGCACUCUGGUCACCACACCAGGCCAGCACCUCAAGUUCCAGGUGAGUAACAGUCAUGGUGGCUAGGGCUCAGGGUGGGUGGAAGGCCCAGGGCUGCAUGCUGGGAAGUCCCGCUCGCCCUGGGAAGCCAGACAAGGCCCUUUUGCCUCAAUCCCUACAGCCUCUAACUGCAGAACAGCACAAAGGCCUCCUGGUGGAGUCAAACUGGCCCUUGUACCCACCCCUGCCACCUGCUUAUGAGGACAGCCCCCCGCCUUACAAGUUGAAGCUUGAUUUGACCACGCUGUAAUCUCGCCUUUUUCCAAGUACAAGGGCCUCGCCACAUUCACUU